ACUGUCUGAACCCGCGUCCGGACGGGCCGGGACGUGAGGCGAGUGGUGAAGAAUCUAGUACUCAGAAAGUGGAGUUUUUUAUUAGUGGACAAAAGAAGAAAUGCACUGAACCAUUGCGCAGCAUCACUGCACAUGCACUGGAAUCCUCCAAAUCAAAUAUACAAAAUUUGAGCAGUAUGCAGGUUGAAUUCUUUCAGGAACUUGGCAAAUGACAAAACUCAAGGCCUUCUGCUUAAGACUCACCUACUGCAAUCGAUCUGAAAUAAGGCGGAGUGGGGGCGCUAAUACCUACGUCGGUGCUGCGCCGUAUCUUAACAAAAAAAAACAAACAAAACUCAAGUAAGCACUCAAGUGACUCAACAAUCGUAAUUCGUAAGCUGUGCCCCUGCCGCUGAACUCAGGGACCACAGGGGUCCCCCCGCUCCCCCGGUCCAGGGGCAGGGAAACGUGAGGCGGAUCUAACCGCAUGGAGGACCUAAUUUUCUCUUCCAUAUUUGCUGAGCAAGCAAUAAGCUCGGACAAGUCCUCGGGUGAUGCCUUCUCUCCUGACCUUGAUUACGACGUCUUCAAGGAUGGCCUCCUUGACUGGCUGGAAGAGAACGGACCCGCGACGUGAGGGUGUCCGCAGACCCUGAGGCUCCACAGCGCCAGCGCUCUCACUCUGCAAGUAUAUUUCUUCACAGUUACUGGCCAACUCCAGCUCUCAGUUCCCUCUUCUGCAGGAGCUUGAUGCUGACGCCCCUCAGGAGCCUCUAUCCUCUGGGGACCCUGGCUCGACUAUCACCUCUCCAGCCCCUCAGCUUCUUGUAAACAAUUGCAUUAGGACUGGUCAUGGCUCUGACCUUAGUGUCAAGUCAGGUCAUGCCUCUGACUUCAGUGCUAAGUCAGGUCAUGCCUCUGACCUCAGUGUCAAGUCAGGUCAUGCCUCUGACUUCAGUGCUAAGUCAGGUCAUGCCUCUGAUAUAAAUAACCCUGAUGAUAUCAUCAACCCAGGCACCUCUGAACUCAACUGCACCAAGAAUCUCAAUAAUGUUAAGCUCUCCCUAAAGCAAAAAAACUCCUGGACUGAGAAGCGUACCAGUAAUUAUAGCCAAAACAAUUCAUCAGAAAUUAAGAUAACUUACUCAACUCUACCUCCCACCAAGCAGAGAACAGGACGGCGAUCUAACACUGCCAGCACUGCUAUCCCUGCGUCAGGCAAAUGUCAGUAUUGUGACUACAGUACAACACACAAGUAUAACCUCAAAGUGCACAUACAGCGCAAACAUUUACCUAAGACAUGUCAUGAUACUUCAACAUCGCAGUUGAGUGAUAACCCAGUUCAACUUCAGUACCCAGUAAAUGGGACAGCGUCCACUGGUUCUUGGCAUCAAUGCUCACUGUGUCCCUACAUGUCACGUAGCAAGUGGCAGUUGGCACGCCACACUCGCCGUAAACAUGAAGCCGUAAAGCCCUUCAAAUGCCCCCAGUGUCCGUACGCCUGCUCUGAGAACACGAAACUGACAGCCCACCACUUGAGUGUUCACACAGACUUGAAGCCAUACAAGUGUAUGCUGUGUUUGUUCUCAACAUCAAACAAGAUGAGUCUCAAGACCCACACAGCCGCCCUGCAUGCCACGGACAAGCCCUACAAGUGUGAGCGCUGUCCCUUCUCUACGGGCGUGCUGAGCACCCUGAAGCGACACCUCCUCAGGAGCCAUGGAGGCCAGGAGCUGCUGUCGUGUGGUGACUGUGAGUUCAAAACUUACUUCAGGGACGACCUGCGGAGACAUCGUCUGCGGCGACAUGUGCCCAGCAAACCUCAUCGCUGUUUGUUGUGCGACUACACAGCAGCGGAACCCAGGGCCAUCAAGCGGCACCUGCGUCGCAUGCACCCCCAGCAGGAGGGAGGUGCUGGUGUGGGGGGGCAGUGACAGGCACCCCCAGCAGGAGGGAGGUGCUGGUGUGGGGGGGCAGUGACAGGCACCCCCAGCAGGAGGGAGGUGCUGGUGUGGGGGGGCAGUGACAGACACCCCCAGCAGGAGGGAGGUGCUGGUGUGGGGGGGCCGUGUUGAACAAAAGCUUCCUCAUUGCAAAAUCAAAUCCUAAAAUUUUAAUGCGUUCCUUCAUAUUCAAUUAAUAUUUCAAUUUGAUGCAUACAAAAUCUUAUUCACCAUAGGAAAUAAAAUCGUGAUGGAGAAAAUUUAUUUGCUAAAUUGUAUAUUUUAUUUGUGUUAAAAAUGCUAUAUUGUGGGAAGAUUUUCCUGUUAUUUCCUCUAUUCUAAAAUGUAACUAUAGUUACACUGUCCCAAGUGCCAGUAUAGUGAGAGUGUCUUAGAGUCAAGCCUUAACAUAAAUAUUAUGGUUUACUUACGCUUAGCAAUUAAGGUUAACUUAGUUAAUUAAAUAAAUUACUGCGAGUGUGCAAUUUCUUCCCACUUCACAGUCCUGAACAUUUUAUAGUAGACAAAUAUGUUACACUUGUGCUAUCUGUUGUACUGCCAUCAUUAGUAAUAUGUACCUACUGUCGUCUACUGUUACUAUAACUUUCAUCUACUGUUAUUACUGUUACUACCAUCUUGUGGUACAUAUGUUGCACUUGUGCAAGCUGUUGUAUUGCCAUCAUUAGUACAUUAGUUAUAUGUACUGUCAUCUACUGUUACUAUGACUUUCAUCUACUGUUAUUACUGUUACUAUGACUAUCAUCUACUGUUAUUACUGUUACUAUGACUAUCAUCUACUGUUAUUACUGUUACUAUGACUAUCAUCUACUGUUAUUACUGUUACUAUGACUAUCAUCUACUGUUAUUACUGUUACUAUGACUAUCAUCUACUGUUAUUACUGUUACUAUGACUAUCAUCUACUGUUAUUACUGUUACUAUGACUAUCAUCUACUGUUAUUACUGUUACUAUGACUAUCAUCUACUGUUAUUACUGUUACUAUGACUAUCAUCUACUGUUAUUACUGUUACUAUGACUAUCAUCUACUGUUAUUACUGUUACUAUGACUAUCAUCUACUGUUAUUACUGUUACUAUGACUAUCAUCUACUGUUAUUACUGUUACUAUGACUAUCAUCUACUGUUAUUACUGUUACUAUGACUAUCAUCUACUGUUAUUACUGUUACUAUGACUAUCAUCUACUGUUAUUACUGUUACUAUGACUAUCAUCUACUGUUAUUACUGUUACUAUGACU